rnacentral:lncRNA from 1 species
CCACGUUGGUGGGCUACCUAAAACGUGCCGGGAACGACGCGUUCAGGAUGUGCGCGGAGAAGGCCCUAGGCCCCGCUGGAUCGGGGCUCGGGCUCCGGUCUUCUUCGCUAUCGUAGCGGCCACCACGGUGUAUGUGGUAGCCACGGUCCGCUCCAUCCUCCCUGUUCGCGCGGGAGUGCCUCCGCGCGUCCAGGGUGUUACGGGCAUCGUGGAUGGGAACAACGCGCAGGUGGAAAGAUGGGGCUCCGC